ensembl:lncRNA
AUGGGAGUUUUAUCUAUAAGCCCCGACUGGGGCUGCUGCCUUUCUUUCAGAGGUGGCCUGCUCAGAGAGGAGGAAUCUAGAGAGACAGUCUGGCUACAGUGGCUUUGUGGAGCUGUGGUGGGUUCUGCCCAGUUCGAACUUCCUGGCAGCUUUGUUUACACUGUCAGUGGAAAACCGCCUACUCAACCCUCAGUAAUGAUGGAUGCCUCUCCCCCGACCAAGCUCGAACAUCCCAGGGCAACUUCAGACUGCUGUGCUGGCAGUGAGAAUUUCAAGCCACUGGAUCUUCGCUUGCUGGGCUCUGUGGAAGGGGGAUCUGCUAAGCUAGACCACUGGGCUUCAGCCCCAUUUCCAGUUUUGGAAUCCGGAUGAUGCUGGCUUCAGAACAGAGACCUCAGUAAUAACACCACACAUGUACAACCAUCUGAUCUUUGAAAAACCUGAUGAAAACAAGCAAUAGGGAAAGGAUCUCCUAUUCAGUAGAUGGCACUGGGAAAACUGGCUAACCAUAUGCAGAAAAUGGAAACUGGACCCCUUUCUAACACCUUAUGCAAAUAUCAACUCAAGAUGGAUUCAAGACUUAAAUGUAAAACCCAAAACCAUAAAAACCCUACAAGGAAACCUAGGCAAUACCAUUCAGGACAUGGGCAUGGACAAAGACUUCAUGACAAAAUCGCUAAGCGAUUGCAAUGAAAGCCAAAACUGACAAAUGGGAUCUAAUUAAACUGAAGAGAUUCUGCACAGCAAAAGAAACUAUCAUCAGAGUAAACGGGCAACCUACAGAAUGGGAGAAAACUUUUGCAAUCUACCCAUCUGACAAAGGUUUAAUAUCCAGAAUUUACAAGGAGCUUAAACAUAUUUACAAGAAAAAACAAACAACCCCAUAAAAAAAGUGGGCAAAGGAUAUGAACAGACACUUCUCAAAAGAAGACACUUAUGUGGCCAAAAACAUAUGAAAAAAAGCUCUUCAUCACUGAUCAUCAGAGAAAUGAAAAAUCAAAACCACGGUGAGAUACCAUCUCAUGACAGUCAAAAUGGUGAUUAUUAAAAAGUCAGGAAACAACAGAUGCUGGUGAGGCCAUGGAGAAAUAGGAAUACUUUUACACUGUUGGUGAGAAUGUAAAUUAGUUCAACCAUUGUGGAAGACAAUAUGGCAAUUCCUCAGGGAUUUAAAACCAGAAAUACUAUUUGACCCAGCAAUCCCAUUACUGACUAUAUGCCCAAAGGAAUAUAAAUAAUUCUACUAUAAAGAAACACAUGCACAUACAUUUAUUGCAGCACUAUUUAUAAUAGCAAAGACAAGUGCUCAUCAAUGAUAGACUGAAUAAGGAAAAUGUGGUACAUAUAUGCCAUGGAAUACUAUGCAGCCAUAAAAAGGAAUGAGAUCAUGUCCUUUGCAGGAACAUGGAUGAAGCUGGAAGCAAUCAUCCUCAGCAAAACAAAACAAAACAAAACAAAACAAAAAACAAAAACUAACACAGGAAAGAAAACCAAACACCACAUGUUCUCACUCAUAAGUGGGAGCUGAACAUUGAGAACACAUGGACACAGAAAGGGAAACAGCACACAUCAGGGCCUGCUGGUGGGGUGGGGAAUGAGGGGAGGGAACUUAGAAGAUGGGUCAAUAGGUACAGCAAACCACCAUGGCACACAUAUACCUAUGUAACAAACCUGCACGUUCUGCACAUGUAUCCUGUUUUUGUUGUUGUUGUUGUUGUUGUUUGUUUUAGAAGAAAUAAAGAAAAAAAAAAAACACCAGAAAACAAGAAGGGACAAAAAUAAAGAGUUAUAAUUUCCAAACAAAAAUAAAAACAAAUUCCAAUCCCUCUCAGCUAGCAGGCCUUUGCCCAUUGCCUCUAACUGUGAAUAGCUGUCCACUUAGUCCAAUGUGCUGUAGGAAUAUUGAUUUCUAUGUGCACUGGCGUAGGGAAAAGAUUGAGAAUCUGAAUUGGACAGGCUUCUGAGAUUAUGUGAUUCUGAAUGGGUCUGGAAUCAGAAUCCAUCUUUUGGUAUUUGAUCUAGUGUCCUAUAAACUGUAAACUUUUUGUAUAGGAUCAUAAAUCCAGGGCUUAUCUGGAUAUAAGAAUGAAGUACUCAGAGCCAUAAUUUCUCUGGGACACAGAGUGCAAGAGCUGAGCGAUAGAACCUUGGCAGUAGUAUAAUGAAACUCAUGCCCUUUGUCAAGUAUCUAUUGCUGUUUUUGUUUUUAGUUUUCAUAUUAGGUUCUUUGUUUUUGAUAGUGUAAUUGUUUCAUAACAAAAGGAAAAAAGAACUAGUGACACGGCAGAAACUUGGAUCUGAGCAAGCACUUUUCACCACUGAUUUUACCUGCCAUUUGGACUUUCUCCAGGGCUUCCCCGACUCGUGUAUUCAUUGUAUGGAGAAGGGGCAAAGUACUCAGGAAGUCACAGGAGCAAAGAAAACAUUUUCCUAACCAUCACACCAUGAGUCUGUCUAGUGUGUGUCCUUUUCCCACUUCUUUUCUUUCUCAUACUUGUUUUCUCUCCUUCCCUUUCCCUCUUUUCCCCCCUCACCAUAGUAGUUGCUAGACUCUAAUGAUGAACAAAGCAUAAUCCUACUCUGUAGGAGUUUAAAGUCUAGCCACAGUUUUAAAUGGAGCUUGGAGUAUGAAAUGAAUUUGUUUGGC